CAUAUCCAUAUCAAUUCAUUUCCUUUAUUCUGUUCAUGUUAGUGUAUUUUGUUGUUUGCAAAUGUCAGCUGUCAGAGGUUGCUAGGAUACGAACAUACCAUCUGGGAAUGUGGUCCUUCCACAGACUAUAUAGUAAAUUACAUAGGUUUCCUAAUACGGGAUAAUAGUGUUCAAGUGAAGCAUUUUAAAUAAAGCCCAUGACUAAAUAUGUGUGACCAAACCCCAAGAUUAAGCAAGAAUCAGUAAUUAGAGUCAAUUUAAAUAGACUGAUAGACUGACUGCAGGUGCACGUGAUUACAGAUGGAAGCCAUCUGGAAGUGGGCGUGGCCACAGAGGACAGCGACGCCUGCGGCAGGCGAUCACCAUUAGGUGGACCAAGGAAGAGACGAUCCUCGACAUGCUCCCGCUCUGCCCCUCAGGGAUUACCUGGGAGGCUGCCUUUGUUUCUCAAAGAAUCCUCAGAAAAGUGGCAUUAAAGUACAAGCGCCCUCUGAGACCUCACUGGAUAAAACGGGGUUUAUGUUUCUGUUUAGCGGGCGCGUUGCACAGCGUUAGUAAAGAUCCUGCGGCAAGUUGUGUUAAAAGUUGGCAGCUGUUGGGGCAAAAAAGUCAUCACAUUAAAAAAAAAAAACAAGAUGUCCUAAUAAAGCCUGAGAGACUCCUUCAAAGGAGGGGCCGCGCGUCUCUGGUCUGGGUCACGCUGGACUUGAAGCCCAUCAUAGACGGCACAGGACACAAGCAUAUAUUUCUAUCAUUUGCAGUUGGGAACUUCAAGGGAAACUCAUUUCAUUGCCUUGAUCUUCCAAUUUUGCUGCACUGUUGUGCAUUCGAUAAAUGAACAUUGAUUUGGUG